AGUGAACGCUGGCGGUAGGCCUAACACAUGCAAGUCGAACGGCAGCACAGUAAGAGCUUGCUCUUACGGGUGGCGAGUGGCGGACGGGUGAGGAAUACAUCGGAAUCUACUUUUUCGUGGGGGAUAACGUAGGGAAACUUACGCUAAUACCGCAUACGACCUACGGGUGAAAGCAGGGGAUCUUCGGACCUUGCGCGAUUGAAUGAGCCGAUGUCGGAUUAGCUAGUUGGCGGGGUAAAGGCCCACCAAGGCGACGAUCCGUAGCUGGUCUGAGAGGAUGAUCAGCCACACUGGAACUGAGACACGGUCCAGACUCCUACGGGAGGCGGCAGUGGGGAAUAUUGGACAAUGGGCGCAAGCCUGAUCCAGCAAUACCGCGUGGGUGAAGAAGGCCUUCGGGUUGUAAAGCCCUUUUGUUGGGAAAGAAAAGCAGCAGGUUAAUACCCCGCUGUUCUGACGGUACCCAAAGAAUAAGCACCGGCUAACUUCGUG
rnacentral:rRNA from 1 species